rnacentral:lncRNA from 1 species
AAUAAAAGGUUUUCUACCCCUCGUUGUAGCGUUUUUAAAAGAAUAAAGGUUUCUGUGUAGGAAACGGUUUUCAAAAGAUUUUUGUGGAUUUCCGUUUAAACCUUGAAUGUAAAAACUGUAAUGUGAAUGGUGAAUGUAUGAAUGUAUAGUUAUCUUUAUAUUCAUUUGGUUGUGGUUGUAUCCUGGUUGUACUGUGUAUUUGAUCGACGCCGUGCAAAUACAGGGGAGACUCUGUCCGUGUGAACAGUGGAUUCCCUGUAUUUGUGGCGGAUCUGGCAUACUCUGGGGUCAGGUUUUCAAAAAAAAAAAAAUUUUCAGACGCUUUUCCGCUUUGUUUUAAAUUGAAAAGGGACCCCGGGGCGUGACAAAGUAAAAAAAGAACGAAAUAAAAAAAAAAAAAGGAGAGAAAAAAAGAAGAGUAUUUUGGUCAAUUUUUUAAAAAUUUGGUCCGAAUCUGCAAACAAAAUACGGUCUACUUUUGCAAAAGCUGAAACUAAUGAAUUUUUUAUGCAAAUUGGCCAGGGAUAAAAGAAGUAUUUUGAUUUCUUUUAACUGGGCUAGAAAUUUAAUCUCGGUUUUAUCUGAGAUGUUAACGGAUACAAACAACGAAAGUAUUUUUGAAUAAUUGAGAAAUACGAUGAGUAUAUUUGAAACAAAAAAAAAAAAAAAAUUUAACAUUUUAGAAGUUUUGAAAGGUAUAUAAGUAACGAUAAAAAAUUAGUCGAAUCUAAUUAAAAAAAAGUAAGAGUCACUGCAUAGGACACCACACACUAAUAAAAGAGAGAUAAACAACAAUACACAAAGCGUAACCUAACAACAACAUCACUGAUUCUGCACCACAUAUAUAUAUAGAGUCCGGCUACUAUACUCUUAUGAGUAUAGAGCCUCUUGUACUCAUAAGUUUUUAGUCGUUAGAUAUACCCUUUAAUCAUUUUCACCCGUUAGAUUAUACUAUUCAACCAACCACCCACUCAACCCUAGGGGGCACACUAUCAACCUAACCAUAACCACUCUCAUCCUAACCGCACAUUUUUUCAUCCGAAACACACGUUGAGAGAGACAAACAACAACAACUCUAUUAAUAUUCUAAGGCUGCGUUUGGUUCGGAUAUAAGUAAGAACUGCUAGUUCCAGAGAUAGGUACAAGUUCAGAUAUAAGCAGGAAGUAGACCAAUUUUGCGUUUGGAUGAAAAUUGAGUUGUUCUUAGGAAUAAGGUAAAUAGUAUUUGGAUGGUUAGCAGUUCCAGAGAUAGGUACAAGUUCAGGUAUAAGCAGGAACUAGACCAAUUUCGCGUUUGGAUGAAAAUUGAGUUGUUCCUAGGAAUAAGGUAAAUAGUAUUUGGAUGGUUAGAUUGGAACAAGAGGAAUAAGAAUUAUAAUUUGGAAUUAAAAUUAUAUUAUGUAAUUAAUUAACAUCAAAAUAUUACUUAAAAAUAAAUAAUAAAAUAAUUAUUAAUAAUUAAUUAUAAAUAAUAAAUUAAUAAUAAUAAUUAUCUAAUUAUUAAUAAUUAAUUAUAAAUAAUAAAUUAAUAAUAAUAUCAAUUAUCUAAUUAAUAAUUAUUGAUAAUUAAUUAUAAAUAAUAAAUUAAUUAUAAUAAUUAUCUAAUUAUUAUUAGUUAAUUAUAAAUAAUAAAUUAAUAAAUUAUUUAAUUAUUAAAGUAAUAAAUAAUAAUUUAAAUAUAUUAAUUAGAUUAAUUAAUAAUUUACUGCCAUUAAAAUUAAAUUUAGAUUUUAAUUAACCUUGUUCUUAUCACGGAACAAGCUUGUUCCAGGAAAAGGGUGGAACAGCAGUUCCGGCCUUAUACCAACUUGUUCUUGAAAUUCUGGAACUACUGCUCCUGGGUACCAAACAUCACAUUUGGGAACGAAGGGGGGAAUAAGGGCUUAUUCCCUCCCUUGUUCCCGAACCAAACGCUACCUAAGAAUAAGGAGUCAAUUAAGAGCCAAAUGGACGCUCAAAACUCCGGCUUAAAAGUCAUAGCGAUGCAGGACUAAGUCGCAUUGAGAGGGAAGAAGUAGAUGAUAUGCAAAAAAUUAAUUUUUUGAUAAAAAUAAAAUAUAUAUUAUUAUUCAAAUCUCAAAAAUCUGAUUGUAUUAACCGAAUGCCACGUCUACCCAAAUCCUUCUAAUAUAUCUCUAAACCUAAUCAGAUUAGAAAUAAUUAAAUAAUCGGACUAAAAAUAGAAAAAAUUUAGAACUUUUCGAAAAUGACCUAAAAUUAUAAAAACAAAAACUGAGGUUGUAGUGCUUCUGAGCCUUGGAUAGAAUUGGUUUCAGUGUUUGUGACUGGUCGACAUAUCUGGUGAAUGUCGGACUGGGUCGGAGUCGUUUCUACGCGAAAUGGAUGCAGAAAUGGA